AAGUCGUGCGAGAAAGCUCCCUUCGGGGAGCGAGUAAAGCGGCGCACGGGUGAGUAACACGUAGGUAACCUACCCUGUAAUCGGGAAUAACCCGGGGAAACCCGGGCUAAUGCCGGAUGAGACCACGGCUGCUCUGGCAGCCGAGGCCAGAGGCGGCCUCUACACGUAAGCUGUCGCUACAGGAUGGGCCUGCGGCCCAUUAGCUAGUUGGUAGGGUAACGGCCUACCAAGGCUUU
rnacentral:rRNA from 1 species